rnacentral:rRNA from 1 species
AACAGGAGAAGCUUGCUUCUCGCUGACGAGCGGCGGACGGGUGAGUAAUACUUAGGAAUCUACCUAGUAGUGGGGGAUAGCUCGGGGAAACUCGAAUUAAUACCGCAUACGACCUACGGGAGAAAGGGGGCAACUUGUUGCUCUCGCUAUUAGAUGAGCCUAAGUCGGAUUAGCUAGAUGGUGGGGUAAAGGCCUACCAUGGCGACGAUCUGUAGCUGGUCUGAGAGGAUGAUCAGCCACACCGGGACUGAGACACGGCCCGGACUCCUACGGGAGGCAGCAGUGGGGAAUAUUGGACAAUGGGGGCAACCCUGAUCCAGCCAUGCCGCGUGUGUGAAGAAGGCCUUUUGGUUGUAAAGCACUUUAAGCAGUGAAGAAGACUCCAUGGUUAAUACCCAUGGACGAUGACAUUAGCUGCAGAAUAAGCACCGGCUAACUCUGUGCCAGCAGCCGCGGUAAUACAGAGGGUGCAAGCGUUAAUCGGAAUUACUGGGCGUAAAGCGAGCGUAGGUGGCUUGAUAAGUCAGAUGUGAAAGCCCCGGGCUUAACCUGGGAACGGCAUCUGAUACUGUUAGGCUAGAGUAGGUGAGAGGAAGGUAGAAUUCCAGGUGUAGCGGUGAAAUGCGUAGAGAUCUGGAGGAAUACCGAUGGCGAAGGCAGCCUUCUGGCAUCAUACUGACACUGAGGUUCGAAAGCGUGGGUAGCAAACAGGAUU